UACAGAGGUCCCGAGCGUUGUUCGGAUUCAUUGGGCGUAAAGGGUGCGUAGGCGGCGGGGAAAGUCUGAUGUGAAAUCCUGGGGCUCAACCCUGGAACUGCAUUGGAUACUUCCUUGCUAGAGUACUGGAGAGGAAACUGGAAUUUACGGUGUAGCAGUGAAAUGCGUAGAUAUCGUAAGGAAGACCAGUGGCGAAGGCGGGUCUCUGGACAGUUCCUGACACUGAGGCACGAAGGCCAGGGGAGCAAACGGG
rnacentral:rRNA from 1 species